rnacentral:rRNA from 1 species
CAUGCAAGUCGAACGAACUCUGGUAUUGAUUGGUGCUUGCAUCAUGAUUUACAUUUGAGUGAGUGGCGAACUGGUGAGUAACACGUGGGAAACCUGCCCAGAAGCGGGGGAUAACACCUGGAAACAGAUGCUAAUACCGCAUAACAACUUGGACCGCAUGGUCCGAGUUUGAAAGAUGGCUUCGGCUAUCACUUUUGGAUGGUCCCGCGGCGUAUUAGCUAGAUGGUGGGGUAACGGCUCACCAUGGCAAUGAUACGUAGCCGACCUGAGAGGGUAAUCGGCCACAUUGGGACUGAGACACGGCCCAAACUCCUACGGGAGGCAGCAGUAGGGAAUCUUCCACAAUGGACGAAAGUCUGAUGGAGCAACGCCGCGUGAGUGAAGAAGGGUUUCGGCUCGUAAAACUCUGUUGUUAAAGAAGAACAUAUCUGAGAGUAACUGUUCAGGUAUUGACGGUAUUUAACCAGAAAGCCACGGCUAACUACGUGCCAGCAGCCGCGGUAAUACGUAGGUGGCAAGCGUUGUCCGGAUUUAUUGGGCGUAAAGCGAGCGCAGGCGGUUUUUUAAGUCUGAUGUGAAAGCCUUCGGCUCAACCGAAGAAGUGCAUCGGAAACUGGGAAACUUGAGUGCAGAAGAGGACAGUGGAACUCCAUGUGUAGCGGUGAAAUGCGUAGAUAUAUGGAAGAACACCAGUGGCGAAGGCGGCUGUCUGGUCUGUAACUGACGCUGAGGCUCGAAAGUAUGGGUAGCAAACAGGAUUAGAUACCCUGGUAGUCCAUACCGUAAACGAUGAAUGCUAAGUGUUGGAGGGUUUCCGCCCUUCAGUGCUGCAGCUAACGCAUUAAGCAUUCCGCCUGGGGAGUACGGCCGCAAGGCUGAAACUCAAAGGAAUUGACGGGGGCCCGCACAAGCGGUGGAGCAUGUGGUUUAAUUCGAAGCUACGCGAAGAACCUUACCAGGUCUUGACAUACUAUGCAAAUCUAAGAGAUUAGACGUUCCCUUCGGGGACAUGGAUACAGGUGGUGCAUGGUUGUCGUCAGCUCGUGUCGUGAGAUGUUGGGUUAAGUCCCGCAACGAGCGCAACCCUUAUUAUCAGUUGCCAGCAUUAAGUUGGGCACUCUGGUGAGACUGCCGGUGACAAACCGGAGGAAGGUGGGGAUGACGUCAAAUCAUCAUGCCCCUUAUGACCUGGGCUACACACGUGCUACAAUGGAUGGUACAACGAGUUGCGAACUCGCGAGAGUAAGCUAAUCUCUUAAAGCCAUUCUCAGUUCGGAUUGUAGGCUGCAACUCGCCUACAUGAAGUCGGAAUCGCUAGUAAUCGCGGAUCAGCAUGCCGCGGUGAAUACGUUCCCGGGCCUUGUACACACCGCCCGUCACACCAUGAGAGUUUGUAACACCCAAAGUCGGUGGGGUAACCUUUUAGGAACCAGCCGCCUAA